UACGUAGGGUGCGAGCGUUAAUCGGAAUUACUGGGCGUAAAGCGUGCGCAGGCGGUGAUGUAAGACAGUUGUGAAAUCCCCGGGCUCAACCUGGGAACUGCAUCUGUGACUGCAUCGCUGGAGUGCGGCAGAGGGGGAUGGAAUUCCGCGUGUAGCAGUGAAAUGCGUAGAUAUGCGGAGGAACACCGAUGGCGAAGGCAAUCCCCUGGGCCUGCACUGACGCUCAUGCACGAAAGCGUGGGGAGCAAACAGGA
rnacentral:rRNA from 1 species